UCGCUGUGAUGAAGUUUAUUCAUGGCCAUUCGUAGUUAUUCACCAGCGGUCGAAAGACCAAGAUGGCGCAAGCACCUUUCCUUGGAUUGUCCUGAGCGA
rnacentral:snoRNA from 1 species